rnacentral:rRNA from 1 species
UAAUGUCUGGGAAACUGCCUGAUGGAGGGGGAUAACUACUGGAAACGAUAGCUAAUACCGCAUAACGUCGCAAGACCAAAGUGGGGGACCUUCGGGCCUCAUGCCAUCAGAUGUGCCCAGAUGGGAUUAGCUAGUAGGUGGGGUAACGGCUCACCUAGGCGACGAUCCCUAGCUGGUCUGAGAGGAUGACCAGCCACACUGGAACUGAGACACGGUCCAG